UACAAAUUAAGAAGGAAAUACAAACAUGUUGGUAUACUAAUUGAGAUUGAAAUACACAUGCAACCCUUGGGUAAUACACAAAUCAAAUGAGGGAAAUUCCCCAAAUUUUUGAAUAUUAUUUGGCAUACCUCUAGUAAUUCUGAUUGAAUCAGUCAUUGUAGACAAUUAAAUACUUUCCCCAAAAUCUAAAACCCUAAAAGCAAAUUUCGAUAUUAUCAAAUUUUAAAAUGUAUUAAAUAUCAAACAAAAUAAACAUAUAUAUGAA
rnacentral:lncRNA from 1 species